rnacentral:lncRNA from 1 species
GAUCACUUAAAUGACACUUGUUGGUUGGUAAUGACUCUUUUUGAUGUUUGCUCACUUGUUCAAGCAAAGGUUUGUUAUGAGAGAGAUCUACUUCUGAAUAAGCUGUGUCUGGUUAGGAAGAAUAAGGUGGAAAGAAAUGCCUUCAUCCCAUUCAAGAUGACACAUGCAGCUCAAAAAAUGGGAACUUUGGGCUGGUUGGAAAUCAAGGCCAUGCUAGACAAGGAGGUCGCCUGA